ACAAAAUGGCACUGCAGACAAAAUGGAUUCAGGCAGAGAACAUUUCACGCUGUGGGAAUCUUUUUGUUGUUGUUGUUUUGUUUUUUGAGAUGGAGUUUCACUCUUGUUGCCCUGGCUGGAGUGCAGUGGCACAAUCUUGGCUCACUGCAUCUUCCACCUCAUGGGUUCAAUUGAUUCUCCUGCCUCAGCCUCCUGAGUAGCUGUGAUUACAGGCAUGCACCACCACGGCCAGCUAAUUUUGUAUUUUUAGUAGAGACGGGAGUUCGCCAUGUUGGCCAGGCUGCUCUUGAACUCCUGACUUCAGGUGAUCCACCCACCUCGGCCUCCCAAAGUGCUGGGAUUACAGGUGUGAGUCACUGUGCCCGGGAAUCUUGUUCCCAAGAGGAAGAAAGGCAAGGAUGAGUUCCCAACCGUUAUAGUAGGGAUGUGGGGAUUAACCUUCAUGCUGGGAUAGAAUCAGAGGCAUGAGGCCUGCUUGAGGUAAAGAGGUAACCCCAAGACCCCCACUGAGUGAACCAGAACCUUAAGGCUGUAAUGCCCAUGAAAGAGGAUCUUGUAAACUUUGCCCAGGGACACAGCAAGGGUUUGACUCCAGUGGUUCUGGGGGCGGGUGUGGGGUGUGGGGUGGGGGUGGUGGGGCGGGGGGAAGAACUCUGAAAGAAAUCAAAGCCCAGACUGUGUCCCACAUAGAGUUCAAGUCAUUUAACAGCAUCAUGGGGGAAACCCAGAGAUGUGAAAUUAGUAUAAAAAUUGGCCGCUGGCAAGUGCUAUCUCUCAGACACCUGAGAACAACAUACGCAACCUCAUUCUGGACUUAGGGACAUUUUAGUUUCCCGGCUACGUAGAUGUCUAUAGAAAAACUGAGCUUUGAUUGGAUGCGCUUACAGUGAGAAAUAGUCAAAACGUAGAAGGAAACCUUCCACCACCAGCAAAUCAGCAACACAUAAAGAGGAGCAUUAGUUCUUCAAGAACUUAAGAUUAUAACAAAAUACAUUAAAAUAAAAUAUAUGAUAUUAUAGAAUAUAUAUGUAAAAAUAUAUAAUAGCAAAAUAUAAAAGAAAGUAAGUUUGGGAUCUUCUAAGUGUUCCCUAUCCUCUGAAAAAAAAACAAAAAACAAAAAGAAGUAGUAAUUCAAAGUAGCAGAGGGAGGCUGCAACCAAACAUUGCACACACAGCUCAGGUGGAGGAUGUGGUGUAUAUGCGCAGCAAGUAUGUUUCCUAAUACUGAAGCCCAGAAUUAGGCAGACAUUAACCACUUGAUUGCAGGUAAUUCUGGGGCAUGUGACAGGGAGAGCUUGUCCCAAAAGGGCUGCAGAGAACACCUCACCCUGUGGCAAACUUAUUCACAAAAGGAAAAAGCGCAGAGAUGAGCCAAGCCAAGCCUCCAGGCAUUCGUCUGAAACUUGCAAUCAAAUACAUUUCUCUAUAUUCCCAGGAGAGAAGGGCCAGGCAUAUGCUGGGGGAUAUAACGCCUCCACUUCCCUGCCAUCAUGCAAGUAAGAAUGGGGAAAAAAGGCAUUUCCCUCUUCACCUAAAUAACAAAUGAUUAAAGGGGAUAAAAAAAAAGGCAUAGAAACUAUAAGGGGCCAGGUGUGGUGGCUCACGCCUGUAAUCCCAGCACUUUGGGAGGCCAAGGUGGGCAGAUCACCUGAGGUCCCGAGUUCAAGACCAGCCUGGCUAACAUGGUGAAACCCCGUCUACUAAAAAUACAAAAAUUAGCUGGGCAUGGUGGCGUGCAUCUGUCAUCCCAGCUACUAGGGACACUAAGGCAGGAGAAUUGCUUGAACGUGGGAGGUGGAGGUGACAGCUGAGAUCAUGCCAUGGCACUCCAGCCUGGGCAACAGAGCAAGACUGUCUCAAAAAAAAAAGAAGAAGAAGAAAAGAAAAAAAAGGAAAGAGUACAAGCAAAUAAAACUUCAGGAAAUAGAAAAACUCACUAAAAUUACAAUCUCAGAAAUAAAGUUUAAAAUAGUAGGUGAGAUAAACUAAAAGAAUUCUGAAAUGAAUAGAAUUUCCCAGGAUUCAACAAAUAAAUUAAAUGAUGAAAAAUAUAAACAAGAUGCUGAGACAUGGAGAAAAAAUGAGUCCACUCCAUCAAAGGUUCUGGCAGACAACAUGGACUGAGCACAAAGUCGGGUUCCCAUCCUCACCGCCUUUGCCUGCCUGUGCCAUAGAGACUGGAGACUAAAAGCCUCAUGCUCCCAGUGUUGCAUUUAGCUGGGGGCGGCCAGAUUCCUUGCCUCUGAGACACGAGUGGAAGUGCAAUAGUGCUGCCUUCUCCUUCCACCACAGGGUCCGAUGUGGUCGAUGGCUGUACUUGCUUCCAUGUUAUGGUGAUGAGAGAAAGAC
rnacentral:lncRNA from 1 species